UACGGAGGGGACUAGCGUUGUUCGGAAUUACUGGGCGUAAAGCGCACGUAGGCGGAUUUGUAAGUCAGGGUUGAAAUCCCGGGGCUCAACCUCGGAACUGCCUUUGAUACUGCAAAUCUCGAGUCCGGAAGAGGUGAGUGGAAUUCCUAGUGUAGAGGUGAAAUUCGUAGAUAUUAGGAAGAACACCGGUGGCGAAGGCGGCCAACUGGACCACAACUGACGCUGAGGCGCGAAAGCGUGGGGAGCAAACAGG
rnacentral:rRNA from 1 species